AUACGGAGGGUGCAAGCGUUAAUCGGAAUUACUGGGCGUAAAGGGUUCGUAGGCGGUUAUUUAAGUCAGAUGUGAAAGCCCCGGGCUCAACCUGGGAAUUGCAUCUGAUACUGGGUAACUAGAGUUUAAGAGAGGAGUGUGGAUUUUCCGGUGUAGCGGUGAAAUGCAUAGAGAUCGGAAGGAACAUCAGUGGCGAAGGCGGCACUCUGGCUUAAAACUGACGCUGAGGAACGAAAGCGUGGGUAGCAAACAGGAUUAGAAACCCCAGUAGUCC
rnacentral:rRNA from 1 species